rnacentral:rRNA from 1 species
AGAAUCAACGCUGGCGGCGUGCCUAACACAUGCAAGUCGAACGAGAAAGGGAUUUCGAUUCUGAGUAUAGUGGCGUACGGGUGAGUAACACGUGAAUCAUCUACCUUCGAGUGGGGAAUAACUAAAGGAAACUUUAGCUAAUACCGCAUAAUACCUAUGGGUCAAAGCCGUAAGGCGCUUGAAGAGGAGUUCGCGGCAGAUUAGUUAGUUGGCGGGGUAAUGGCCCACCAAGACGAUGAUCUGUAUCCGGCCUGAGAGGGCGCACGGACACACUGGAACUGAAACACGGUCCAGACUCCUACGGGAGGCAGCAGUGGGGAAUUUUGCGCAAUGGGGGAAACCCUGACGCAGCAACGCCGCGUGGAGGAUGAAGUAUCUUGGUACGUAAACUCCUUUCGAUGGGGAAGAUAAUGACGGUACCAUAGAAGAAGCCCGGCUAACUUCGCGCCAGCAGCCGC